rnacentral:rRNA from 1 species
GACGAACGCUGGCGGCGUGCCUAAUACAUGCAAGUCGAACGAGAGGAAGGAAAGCUUGCUUUUCUGAAUCUAGUGGCGAACGGGUGAGUAACACGUAGGUAACCUGCCCAUGUGCCCGGGAUAACUUCUGGAAACGGAUGCUAAAACCGGAUAGGUAGCAGACAAGCAUUUGACUGCUAUUAAAGUGGCUAAGGCCAUGAACAUGGAUGGACCUGCGGUGCAUUAGCUAGUUGGUGAGGUAACGGCCCACCAAGGCGACGAUGCAUAGCCGGCCUGAGAGGGCGGACGGCCACAUUGGGACUGAGACACGGCCCAAACUCCUACGGGAGGCAGCAGUAGGGAAUUUUCGUCAAUGGGGGGAACCCUGAACGAGCAAUGCCGCGUGAGUGAGGAAGGUCUUCGGAUCGUAAAGCUCUGUUGUAAGAGAAAAACGACAUUCAUAGGGAAUGAUGAGUGAGUGAUGGUAUCUUACCAGAAAGUCACGGCUAACUACGUGCCAGCAGCCGCUGUAA